AAAUAAAUAAAAGGUUUUUAUUUACUCUUUUGAUAUUUUUUCUUUCUUUCCAGGAAUAAAGUCUACUACUCACUGGACUGCAGACUAAAUAAAUAAUACAAGUGCCUAAUGCAGGGCCUGUCUUUCAGCCUCCUAGAUGUAUGGGAUUUACCUGGGACUAAUAGAUGCCAAAUAAACCAACAUCUUCAUUUUGAAGACAAAGAAACUGAGAUCCAGAGGGAAACCCCUUACUUAAAAUCAUUCAGGAAGGGUAAGAGGGAGAGAAAAGAAAUGCUUAUUAAUUGAAAAAACAAUUUAAUUUUCAGAAGAAAGUAGA
rnacentral:lncRNA from 1 species